CCUACGGGUGGCAGCAGUAGGGAAUAUUGCACAAUGGGGGAAACCCUGAAGCAGCAACGCCGCGUGGAGGAUGAAGGUGUUCGGAUUGUAAACUCCUUUUGUUAGAGAAGAGAAUGACGGUAUCUAAUGAAUAAGCACCGGCUAACUCCGUGCCAGCAGCCGCGGUCAUACGGAGGGUGCAAGCGUUACUCGGAAUCACUGGGCGUAAAGAGUGCGUAGGCGGGUUAGCAAGUCAGAGGUGAAAUCCUUGGGCUUAACCAUAAGACUGCAUUUGAAACUGUUAUUCUAGAGUAUGGGAGAGGUAGGUGGAAUUCUUGGUGUAGGGGUGAAAUCCGUAGAGAUCAAGAGGAAUACUCAUUGCGAAGGCGACCUACUAGAACAUAACUGACGCUGAUGCGCGAAAGCGUGGGGAGCAAACAGGAUUAGAUACCCUUGUAGUC
rnacentral:rRNA from 1 species